CACAAAUAACUCUCAGCUGUGACAACAGAAAUACAACUGAUAUUUCUGUAAAACAGCAUAUGAAAAUUGAAUAAGCAUAUGAUUUCAUUGGAAAGGUUACUGGACCUUUCUAUUAUUGAACACUGAUUUUCUGUGUUUCUGGAGGACAGACAAGAGCAGAGCAAAACUGACAUAAAAUCAGAGCAGCAGACGUUUCUGUUUAUCAGAUCACAAACCUGUUGAUAAGUGUACACAUUAUUUAAGCCAAAAAAUAAGAGAAAAUCCUUGAAGACGUUGAAGAAGUAAUAACACCAGACUGAUUCAAGAGUGCUUCCUUCCUGAACUUUGUUCCUAAAUCACACAUCAUUAUGACUUUUUUAUCAUGUGUACAAAAGCAACUUUCUGAAUCUGAUGAAAAUAGUAAAACCACUCUUGAGAAAGGGGAAACAAACCCACUGGAUGUCACUUUUGAUCACAUAGCUGAAGAUUUGUUAUCGUUUUUUAAUGGAGUUAAGAGCUUACAUAAGGCUAAAAAAGUGAUUGAAAAAAAAUAUGAAAUUAAAAAGGAGCGUGAUGAUUGCUGGCCAGCUGAUGAUAUUAAACAAGUUUGGGAGCAAACACAAAGAAUGGAUAAAAAAUCAAGCAGAAGACGAUACUGGGCUCAUGUUAUAAUUUUUCAGAUGCUAAAAAGAUUUAUGGUUUAUGAUAAGUGUAAACAAAAUGCAGCACAGGAGGAUCAUGAUGAUACAACCAAUGAUAUUAAUCAAUCUUGUGAAACAACACCAGGAAUGAAAGAAAACUCAGAUACAUCAUCUCAAAGCAAUGAUGAACUGCAGAUACAGAGAGUGGGUUUGCAUGCACUUCAACACAAACUAACAGAGCAAUCCAGUGCAGUAUCAGAGAGUCAACUUUCAGCUUUUAGCACAGAUGCAUUCUGUUAUUCUCAUUCAAACAGCAAUGAAUCCAUAUGUGCUGCAUUGUUGAAUGAGAGCGAGGAUACUUUAGAGAACAACUGUGAGCAGCGAAAAAGAAUUGACAAGCAUGAGGAGUUGAAUGUCACAGAUGUGCUGCUCAACCACAUGAAAGCCGAAUCAGAGAA